UACAGAGGUCUCAAGCGUUGUUCGGAAUCACUGGGCGUAAAGGGUGCGUAGGCUGCAUGGUAAGUCAGAGGUGAAAUCCCGGAGCUCAACUUCGGAAUUGCCUCCGAUACUGCCGUGCUUGAGGACUGGAGAGGAGUCUGGAAUUCACAGUGGAGCAGUGAAAUGCGUAGAUAUUGUGAGGAACACUAGUUGCGAAGGCGAGACUCUGGACAGUUCCUGACGCUGAGGCACGAAGGCCAGGGGAGCAAACGGG
rnacentral:rRNA from 1 species